GAUGAACGCUAGCGGCAGGCUUAACACAUGCAAGUCGAGGGGUAACAGGGUUUGCUUGCAAACCGCUGACGACCGGCGCACGGGUGCGUAACGCGUAUAGAACCUACCCUUUACUGGGAGAUAGCCCGGAGAAAUCCGGAUUAAUAUCCCAUAGUAAUGUUAUAUGGCAUCAUAUAAUAUUUAAAGUUACGAUGGUAAAGGAUGGCUAUGCGUCUUAUUAGCUAGUAGGUAAGGUAACGGCUUACCUAGGCUACGAUAAGUAGGGGCCCUGAGAGGGGGAUCCCCCACACUGGUACUGAGACACGGACCAGACUCCUACGGGAGGCAGCAGUGAGGAAUAUUGGACAAUGGGCGGAAGCCUGAUCCAGCCAUGCCGCGUGCAGGAAGACAGCCCUACGGGUUGUAAACUGCUUUUAUACAGGAAGAAUAAGGGGUACGUGUACCCUGGUGACGGUACUGUAAGAAUAAGGACCGGCUAACUCCG
rnacentral:rRNA from 1 species